AACAUGGAGAGUUUGAUCCUGGCUCAGGAUGAACGCUGGCGGUCUGCUUAACACAUGCAAGUCGAACGGAGGUCUUCGGACCUUAGUGGCGGACGGGUGAGUAACGCGUGAGAAUCUGGCCUCAGGACGGGGACAACGACUGGAAACGGUCGCUAAUACCCGAUGUGCCGAAAGGUGAAAGGAUUAAUUGCCUGAGGAUGAGCUCGCGUCUGAUUAGCUAGUUGGAGGGGUAAAGGCCCACCAAGGCGACGAUCAGUAGCUGGUCUGAGAGGAUGAUCAGCCACACUGGGACUGAGACACGGCCCAGACUCCUACGGGAGGCAGCAGUGGGGAAUUUUCCGCAAUGGGCGAAAGCCUGACGGAGCAAGACCGCGUGAGGGAAGACGGCCUACUGGUUGUAAACCUCUUUUGAUAGGGAAGAACACAAUGACGGUACCUAUCGAAUCAGCCUCGGCUAACUCCGUGCCAGCAGCCGCGGUAAUACGGAGGAGGCAAGCGUUAUCCGGAAUUAUUGGGCGUAAAGCGUCCGUAGGUGGAUAUUCAAGUCAGUUGUUAAAGCGUGGAGCUUAACUCCAUAAAGGCAAUUGAAACUGAAUGUCUAGAGUGCGAUAGGGGCAAGGGGAAUUCCCAGUGUAGCGGUGAAAUGCGUAGAUAUUGGGAAGAACAUCGGUGGCGAAAGCGCCUUGCUGGGUCUGCACUGACACUGAGGGACGAAAGCUAGGGGAGCGAAAGGGAUUAGAUACCCCUGUAGUCCUAGCCGUAAACGAUGGAUACUAGGC
rnacentral:rRNA from 1 species